rnacentral:rRNA from 1 species
AUUGAACGCUGGCGGCAUGCCUAACACAUGCAAGUCGAACGGAGGUAGGGGCAACUCUACUUCAGUGGCGGACGGGUGAGGAAUGCGUCGGAAUCUACCCUAUGGUGGGGGAUAACACAGGGAAACUUGUGCUAAUACCGCAUGAUGUCGAGAGACCAAAGCAGGGGACCGCAAGGCCUUGCGCGAUAGGAUGAGCCGACGCCCGAUUAGCUAGUUGGUAGGGUAAAGGCCUACCAAGGCGACGAUCGGUAGCUGGUCUGAGAGGAUGAUCAGCCACACUGGGACUGAGACACGGCCCAGACUCCUACGGGAGGCAGCAGUGGGGAAUAUUGGACAAUGGGCGCAAGCCUGAUCCAGCAAUGCCGCGUGUGUGAAGAAGGCCUGCGGGUUGUAAAGCACUUUUUGUUCGGGAAGAAAACGGAUCGGUUAAUACCCGGUUCGGAUGACGGUACCGAAAGAUAAGCACCGGCUAACUUCGUGCCAGCAGCCGCGGUAAAGUAUCG